rnacentral:lncRNA from 1 species
GCGUAUCAAAGAAUGCUUGUAAAAAAACUAUACGUGAAGCAUAUUUAAAAAAAAGUAAAAAUAUAUCACCCAGAUUUAAAUAAAAGUCCAGAAGCUACAUCAAAAUUUAAACAACUUCAAGAAGCUUAUCAAGCUUUGUAUAAUAAUGAUUGUUCACAAAAAACAUACCAAAGUGAAAAUACAUCUAGUAGAAGUUACUAUUCGAAAAAUACACAGAACAAUCAGACUUAUGACCAGUCUGAUGAUUUUAACGAUUUUCAUCGAGCUUUUUAUGAAGAAGUUCGUAGAAUGAGAGAAAAUGAAAAGAAAGAACAAUAUAGAAGAUACGCAAAUAAUACGAACAGCUACACAUUCAAUGAUUUUGUCCAUAAAUAUGCUAGGGAAUACUUUUAUAUAAAUUUAAUUUUUAAAUUAUUUCCCCUGUUUGUAGUUCCUUUUUUAUUUUUUUUUGUUGUAUAUAAGCAUUACAUUUUGAAAGCACACUUGAGAGAAAAACCUGUACUCCUGUAUGAUUCUUAUGGUAA